AACGCUAGCGGCAGGCUUAAUACAUGCAAGUCGAGGGGCAGCAUGGUGUAGCAAUACACUGAUGGCGACCGGCAAACGGGUGCGGAACACGUACAGAACCUUCCUUCGAGCGGGGAAUAGCCCAGAGAAAUUUGGAUUAAUACCCCAUAGUAUAUUAGAGUGGCAUCACUUUGAUAUUAAAGAUUUAUCACUUGAAGAUGGCUGUGCGGCUGAUUAGGUAGUUGGCGGGGUAACGGCCCACCAAGCCUGCGAUCAGUAACUGGUGUGAGAGCACGACCAGUCACACGGGCACUGAGACACGGGCCCGACUCCUACGGGAGGCAGCAGUAAGGAAUAUUGGUCAAUGGACGAAAGUCUGAACCAGCCAUGCCGCGUGGAGGAUGAAGGUCCUCUGGAUUGUAAACUUCUUUUAUAUGGGACGAAAAAAGGGUUUUCUAACUCGUCUGACGGUACCAUAUGAAUAAGCACCGGCUAACUCCGUGCCAGCAGCCGCGGUAAUACGGAGGGUGCAAGCGUUAUCCGGAUUCACUGGGUUUAAAGGGUGCGUAGGUGGGUUGGUAAGUCAGUGGUGAAAUCCCCGAGCUUAACUUGGGAACUGCCAUUGAUACUAUCAGUCUUGAAUACCGUGGAGGUCAGCGGAAUAUGUCAUGUAGCGGUGAAAUGCUUAGAUAUGACAUAGAACACCAAUUGCGAAGGCAGCUGGCUACCCGAAUAUUGACACUGAGGCACGAAAGCGUGGGGAUCAAACAGGAUUAGAUACCCUGGUAGUCCACGCCCUAAACUAUGGAUACUCGACAUUU
rnacentral:rRNA from 1 species